CUAGUGCCAGCCAUCACAACGUUAUGGGAUAAUUAAAUCAUGUCAAAUAUAGAAGCGACUUGCUCAUCCCUCCCAAGCAGAUUUAUGGAAACUCACCUGGAAACCACCACAACCUGGAAAGGUGGCAGGAGGAUGUUUAUCAGGCACGUAUGAGCCCAGCUUCUCAGAAGAUAGACACAGGUGCCUUUGUCUCUGAACAAGUGGCAGGAGCUGGAGCCACAGUCACACUGGGGUUCUGAGUGGCUUGAGACGGGACAUUGUGAGGUUUACCAGGAGGACCAAAAGCACUCAAAGUAUGUGGAGGUCAGAGCAGUGGCAAAGAAGGAGUCCAGGCGGGCUGGGGAGGGGUCAAGGGGCAUCAGGCAGCACGUCUGGGAGCCAGGAUGACAGAUGGGAGAUUCAAAACAGGGCACCACUAGAAGCCUGAAAGGAAGGCAAGGUUUUAUCAGGGUAGGAACUGAGCUCUGGAGAAAGAACAGGACAACUGGCCAUGGCUGAAAAGGGGGCACAGGGUCAGCAAGUUGAAGACAGAUCCUUAUGAUAAUGAACCAGGGUGGAAACAGGAAAAGAGGGUUUGAUGCUUUCUUUGGGGCAAACGAUUCUCUCCCUAUUCCUGCAACAAUAGCGCAGGUUCCUAGAUCAGUCAUUUGGUCCAUUAGCAGCUAAUGCUGGUUGUGGGUAUCACACCAGUAGAUGGCCAUCACCUUCAUAAAGCUCCUGCACAAUGCUCAGCUCGUGAGUGCUCCAAGGAAAACAUUUCUGUGGUGACUGUGUUUGGGAUUUUUGCAAACUACAGGUCCUUCUUGGGGAUUCACAGUGUACAUUAGCUCUGAAUGUGUACAGCGUGCAUUUUAAACACUCUGCCAACUCCUGAGGUAUAGAAAUCUGUUUCAUUGUUUUUAAUUUAAUGUUUCUCAAAUGUAGUUGACACCCGGGUCCAACAGGAUCCUUUUGCUAUAUAACAACCCUGAACAUUCUGUGGACACACCUUGAGAAACAUUGUUCUAGAACAUUCCUAAUCUGGUGUUCCCAGGCCCUUCACAGCCUGGGCCUGCCCUUGUUUCCCAACUUUUCCUUCCUUUAUUUUCUGACAUUCCAGCCACAUUAAGCUCUUCCCUUGCACACGCUCCUGUUGCACAUUUCCUUCUUUCUUGCUAUAGCAGGUGAUUCAUCAUCUGCCCAAAAAUGGGAAAAAAGCUGAGCCCUGCUCACUUCACCUCACUGUCACCCUCAUGUCUGUCUAUCUUUUGAGACCCACCUCAAAAGGAGCCCUGGAUUCAUUCUCUGCCCCAUCUCUGCUCCUGCCUUCCUGUUCCUAUAAAUAAUCCUUUGCCGCCUCUGAUCCCUUCUGUCCUGGUAUCUGUUACUGUCAGGGCACUUCACAUGUUUUACUUUGUAUAAGGCCAUUUAUGCCUUUUUUAUUCAAACAGAAUCCACGUCUCACUUUUGUACCCACCCCCCUACCAACAGAACACAGCAUAUUUGUAGGAUUGUUAGUGGGAGCAGAAAAUAUGAUGCCAAAACUUCUGAGGUUGGGGUAAGUUCUCUUCUCAACAUUCAGGCCAGAGUUGGCAAAUACCUGGCUCACCUGCUGCCAACCUGUACUCUCUCACUAAUGGCACAGACUCAUCAGAGAAGGCCCCAGGAGCUUCUCAACACAGUGCUCCCAGCAGUCAUGAUCAAUGGGUUAGAAAAGGCAUGAGAGAGGAAAUCUGUUAUCCCUGAUUUAGACCUUUUGCCAAAGUGAAAGUUAGGAGAAUUUAGUAAGCUGAAUGUGGGAGCUGUUAAUGCUACAGACCAAUGACUGUCCUCUAACAGAACAGAGCAAUUAGCAAAAGUAUUCAUUAUACUUUCAUGUUCAUGUCUAGUCUCAAGGCUAAUUAUUUGUAUAAUUAAGAUGUUACCAAAUGCAAACAAUUGAUGAGCCUGAUUUCUUGGAAUGAAACAUGAGACUUAUGAAAUGUAAAUAGCUGUGAAUCACUAACAGCUUUCCUUUACUUAGGCAUUCUACCAAGGCAUAGCCCUGUUACAUUAAAGAAACAAUGGAAGUAUAAUCCCAUUCAUAUUUUUUAGAUGACAAAACAAUAUGACGUAUGAAUUUAAAUCAUAGAAAAAGCACAGGUUUUAAUUCUCACUCCACCAUUUUCUAGCUGUGUGCCCUUGGCUGUGUUACAUAAGCUCAAUUUACUCGUGUUACUUACAGAGAGAUGUCAGUUUCCACAUUCAGAAAAUGGGUGUAAUAGCCCCUAGUUCAGAGGACUGCUGUGACAAUCAAAUGAGUUAACAUGUGGAAAGAGUGCACAAUCAAUGUGAGCCAUUGUUUUCAUUAUUCUACUUGUAUCUACAGAUUAUACUUUGACAAUGAUCGCUUGGAUUUUUUACAGUAUGUAAAAAACAUUAGAGAGAAAUGGAAUGUAUAUAGAUGUCUCGCUAUAACACCAUCUGUGUGUUACUGAAAAGCUUCCAUGGUCUAAAAAUGGCCACAAGCCCCAAAAUAACAGGGUUGGUGGGGAAAAAAAAAUAGGGUUGGGACAGUCUACUCAAAACCUGGCUGGGUGCAGUGGCUUACGCCUAUAAUCCCAGCACCUUGGGAGGGUGAGGCCAGAAGAUUUCUUGGGCCCAGGAGUUCAAGACCAGCCUGGGCAACAUCAUGAGACCCUGUCUACACACACACACACACACACACACACACACACACACACACACACACAGACACACACACAAUUAGCCAGGCAUGGUGGCACACACUUGCAGUCCCAGCUACCCAGGAGGCUAAGGCAGGAAGAUUGCUUGAGCCAGGGGAGGUUGAGGCUGCAGUGAGCUGUGAUUACACUACUACGCUUCAGCCUGGAUGACAGAGCAAGGCCCUGUCUCAAAAACAAAACAAAAUGAAAAACAAAAACAACAACAAAAAAACUAUGCAAUUGUAACCAGAGCACUCACAAAAACAAUGUCAAAACUAAUGAAACAUUACCCCAGUAAGCCUCAGCUUUCACAAACAUUUGCACACCGCAUCCCAGCCUUGAACCCUAGGGCUCCUCCUGCUGCUUUGAGAUAUAGGCCCUGGAGGGCAUUUGCUUCUAAUAGGGACCAGUUUUAUCAAAAUUAAACAUUUGAUUUAAAGAGCGGUGUUCUUCGCUAACCCAUCCUUCUAAUACAAAGAGAAACGUUUUCACUGCUUCUUCAACAGCACCCUCAGUUUUUCCAGAAACUUGACAAGAGAACAGCAUAGUGGUUCCCAAGUCACUAAAUCAGUCAGUCCCUGCAGCUAAAGAAGGCAGCUGUGUGUAUUCUCAGCUUUUUCUUAAGGCCUCCAUAGAGUGCUAAGGUUUCCUCUUAUUAAAGAGGUAGUUAUUGUGAGAAAGCUGGCUCCUGGCUUCAAAACAUUUACAUGCUGGGGGAAAAAAGUGCAUAGGAACCCACAUGACAUCUGUGUUAUACCAAUUCCCCUGUUUACUCAUGGCUUGUGAGGUCGCUCAUAUAUAAGAAACAUUUGUAGCAACAACAGUUUAUAUUGAAUAUCUCCAAUCUGCUAGUUGAUGUGGUAAGAACUAAAUAGAAGCCAUGUGAUUUAAUCUGCACAUUAGUCGAGUGUGGUAGAGGUAAGGUAUCCUUACCUUUGAGGCUUAGAGACAUUAAAUAACUUGCCUGAGAUUACAAGUUUUUAAGUAGUAAAGCCAAAAUUCCUACCUGGAAUCUAACGUCAAACCUCAUGCCUUUUGAGAUCACACUAUCCCUACUAAGGAUGGCUGGAGGCAGGAAAGAAGACCGACAUCCCUGGCCAUGGUAAUGAGUGAAAGCCUGAUUCCUAACCACAAGUCACUAACAUUUAAUUGCAUUUAAUCCUCACAACAACCCUGCUACACAGUUAUUAUUACCACCAAUUUAUCGAUGAGGAAACUGAAGCUCAUUCAUCAAAAGACAAGCCACCCAAUUUUUAAAAAUAGACUGAAGAUUUGAAGGAAGAAACGUCCAUUAGAAAACAUGCAAAUCAAAAUCACAGUAAGAUGGCACUUGACACCCACUAGACGGGUGGUGAUUAUAAUAAAAAAGACAUAAUAACAAGUGUCGGUAGUUGGUGAUGAUGUGGAGAAAUUGGAACCCUCGUACACUGCUGGUAGGAAUGUAAAAUGGUGCAGCCACUUUGGAAAACAAUCUUUCAGUUCCUCAAACAACUAAACAGAGUUAUCAUAUGAUCCAGCAAUUCUGCUCUAGAUAUAUACACAGAGAAAUGAUAACAUAUCUACACACAAAAAGGUACAUGAACAUUAAUAGCAGCAUUAUCCAUAAAACCAAGUGGAAACCAAAAUUUCCAUCGACUGAUGAAUGGAUAAAUAAAAUUAUAUCUGUUUAAUUAAAUAUUUGGCAAGAAAGAAAUUAAAUGCUGAUACAUACUACAAUCUGGAUGAACCUUGGAAACUUUAUGCUAAAUGAAAGAAGCCAGCCACAAAGGACCACAUAUUGUACGAUUCUAUUUUUUGAAAUGUCCAGAAUGGGCAAGUAUAUAGAGACAGAAAAUAGAAUUGUGGUUGCUUAGGGGUGAGGAUGAUGAAGGGUUUGUGGGGCAAUGGCUACGGAGUACAGGGUUUCUUUUGGAGUGAUGAAAAUGUUCCAACGUUGAUUGUAAUAAUGGAUAUACAACUCUGUGAAUAUACCAAAAGCCUUCGAAGUGUACACUUUAAAUGGGUGAAUUGUGUGGUAAUUGAAUUAUAUCUCAAUAAAGCUGUUUUUAAAAAAAAAAUCUUUAAAAGAUUUGAACAGGCACUUCCAAAAGGAAGCCAUCCAGAUGGCCAUAAGGAUAUUUUUUUAAA
rnacentral:lncRNA from 10 species